GACGAACGCUGGCGGCGUGCCUAAUACAUGCAAGUAGAACGCUGAAGGAGGAGCUUGCUUCUCUGGAUGAGUUGCGAACGGGUGAGUAACGCGUAGGUAACCUGCCUGGUAGCGGGGGAUAACUAUUGGAAACGAUAGCUAAUACCGCAUAAUAGCAGUUAUUGCAUGAUAACUGUUUGAAAGGUGCAAUUGCACCACUACCAGAUGGACCUGCGUUGUAUUAGCUAGUUGGUGGGGUAACGGCUCACCAAGGCGACGAUACAUAGCCGACCUGAGAGGGUGAUCGGCCACACUGGGACUGAGACACGGCCCAGACUCCUACGGGAGGCAGCAGUAGGGAAUCUUCGGCAAUGGACGGGAAGUCUGACCGAGCAAACGCCGCGUGAGUGAAGAAAGGUUUUUCGGAUCG
rnacentral:rRNA from 1 species